rnacentral:lncRNA from 1 species
UUAAGAGGACUCUUCCACCUAGAUAAAAAUAUAUCAUGGUCAGCAAAGUUGUUUCUUUAUUUUUAUUUGCCCUCUUUAAUAAUUUCAAUUUCAUUAAGAAAAACUAACUAAAUAAAUGGAAAAUGAAAAUUAAUAGAAUUCUUUUUUUUUCUUCAAAUCCAAAAAAUUUCUCUUUUUUAUACAUAGGUCGUCGAUUCGGCAUUGGUUAAAAAAGGGCAGGGUGCCCCCUUUUUUUCUAGUAAAUAGUUCAAACCAUUUUAUCUAUAUGAGUGUUCUAUAUCAGAUAAAUUUUACAUUAGCUAUUUCCCAUUUAAAUUCGGUACUAAUACUAAUAUAGUUGUAGAAAGAGUACCUCUUUUUGCCUGGACUUCAAGCAGUUUAGCUUUAACCGUGUUAAUGGUCUCACAUUCUUGGUUUAUAGAGAAUCAAAGUUGAUUUACCAAUGAGUCGCGAAAUGCUAUGGUUCUUCCAUAUGAUUUCUGAAUUUAUUCAGAAGUAAUUCGUCGAGAUCGUGCACCCUUUUCUUGUUUAUCCGAAAAAUACUAAAAAAUAUUAUAAAGUGCAGCCAGAUAGAUCCAAUCUAUUCUUGAAAUAGACAACUCACACACACUCCCUUUCCAAAAAAAAUCAAAACACCAACCACUACAGUUAGAUUUAUUAGAUUUGUUGCUAAAAUAUCGGUAUUAAGCCCGAAACUGCCAGCGGAUGGCCAGUGAGCUAAAAAACGAAAGAAUGGGUUACAUUUUUCAUGCCCUCGUACUCGGCGAUGUUGUUAGUUGACAUCUCCCGGGGAAAGUGCAUUUGGAUGACAUACAUGAGGUGCUCCCCGGUGGGUGCGACAAACAUCACGCCAGCACCGGCGCCUUGCAGCGAAAAAGCCCCAUCAAAGUACAUGAUCCAGUUGCAGCUCGUUUCCUUGCCGGGGAGAGUGGUCUCCUGUACCUCUUCAUCGGGCAUCGAGGUCCAUUCUACAAUGAACUCCACCAAGACUCUGCUCUGAAUCGUCGAGGUGCUCACGAACAUUAAACCAAAACUUGACAGCUCUAGGGCCCAUUCCACAAUCCUCCUUGUUGCAUAUGGGUUAAGAAGUAUCCGUUGCAACGGGAGGCGGGUGAAAACGGUGAUCUCGUGCGCUUGGAAGUAAUGACGCAGCUUCCUUGAGGUCAUAAGGAGGCCGAAGAGCAAUUUUUGCACACCUGAGUACCUCGACCUUGCCCCCUGCAAGAGGGAGCUGACAAAGUAAAUUGGGUGCUGCACCAUUUUCUUCUUCUGCACCACUUCACCUAGUCGCGUGGGCCCUGUUGCACUGGCGUCAGCCUCUGCCGGGGACUCAGUCUUGCCGGGACCGAGCCCUGCCGGGGAGGGUUCCGGCUUGCCAUCUGUUGAUUCUGCCGCUGCUGCUGCCUCUUCGUCGACCUCUCUCUGCGCCACCAGUGCGGUGCUAACCACCUGAUUUGUUGCCGCUAGGUACAGCAGCAACGAUUCUUGUGGUUUAGGCGCAACUAGCACUGGGGUAUAGGAGAGGUAUUUCUUCAAAUCCUGCAGUGCUGCCUCGGCCUCCGGGGUCCACUCCAUUGGGCCGGCCUUCUUCAAGAUCUUGAAAAAGGGAAGGGCAUGCUCCGCAGACUUGGAGAUGAAUCUGCUCAUGGCAGCAACGCAGCCAGUGAGCCGACACACGUCUUUGAUCCGCUUAGGUGCCUCAAUCUACUCGAUGGCCUUGAUCUUAUCUGGUUUUGCCUCAGUACCACCCUGUGACACAAAGAACCCGAGAAGCUUGUGGAAUGGGACACCGAAGACACACUUCUCAGGAUUCAACUUGAGGUUGAUCUUGUGCAGGUUUGCAAAUGUUUCCUCCAGAUCUUGCACAAGUGUUGUCUUGUCCUUGCUUUUGACCACUAUGUCAUCCAUAUAAGCUUCCAUAUUUCUACGUAGCUGGGGCUCAAAACCAAUUUGGACUGCUCUUGCAAAGGUUGAGCCAGCACUCUUCAACCCGAAAGGCAUCCAUAAAAAGCAAUACGUACCACAUGGGGUGAUGAAUGUUGUCUUCUCCUCGUCUUCUUUUGUCAUGAAGAUCUGAUGGUACCCUGUGUAGGUGUCGAGGAAUGAUAACAGGUCACACCUGGCCGUGGAGUCAACAAUCUGGUCGAUGCGCGGUAACGGGAAGGGAUCCUUCGGACAAGCUUAAUUGAUGUCUGUGUAAUCAAUACACAGUCUCCACUUCCCGUUUUCCUUGCGCACCACUACCGGAUUGGACAACCACGUCAGAUGGAGCACCCCCCUUACCAAGCCUGCCGCCUCUAGUUUUCUUAUCUCCUGUGUGAUGAACUCCUUCCUCUCCAGAGCUUGCUUCCUGACCUUCUGCUUGACGGGCCGUGCAUGAGGACAAACAGCAAGAUGGUGCUCAAUCACUUCCCUGGGAACGUCGGGGAUGUCGGAUGCUUGCCAUGCAAACACAUCGACAUUUGCCCGCAGGAAAGUGACAAGCUCGCUUUCCUAUUUGCCAUCGAGGGUGGAGCUUAUGGUAAAAGCUCCUCCUGUGCCAUCCUCCUCGACGGACACCUUCUUGGUCUCUGGUGGUGCAGCACUGGACUUCUUGCUCUUGCCGAUGGAGCUCUCUGCAUGUCCUCGACGGGAGCGCAACACCCCGAGGAGGUGCGCUUGCCGGAGCGGGUGCGAGGGGUCUCGCCGGUCUUCUUUCCUCCCGGUGCUCCGUCGGCAGGAGGAGGUGCGUUGGCGGCAGCUACUGCAACUGCUUCCCGGUAGAGUUAGUCGGCGCAAAUCAACACGUCUUUCUUGUCGGAGGGGACGGUGAUGAUGUUCAUCGGCCCGGGCAUCUUCACUGUGUUGUAGGCGUAGUGAGAAGCCGCCAUGAACUUGGCUAGUGCCGGGCGGCUGAGGAUCCCAUUGUAGGGCAAGGGGAUCUCGGCUACAUCAAAGACAAUCAUCUUCGUCCUGUAGUUCAGCUCGCCUCCGAACGUCACGGGCAGCGUGACCUUUCCCUUCGGCUGGCUCCUCCCAGGAUUGACCCCUUGGAACGUGCCCGUCUCCUCGAGGUCUUCAUCAGGGAUCUGCAGCCUCUUGAUCACAACAGGCGAGAUCAAGUUCAGACCGGCCCCGCUGUCAACUAGCAUCUUCAUCACCUUGAGGUUGCGGAUUGUUGGUGAGACUAACAAUGGCAAGCACCCGACCGCAGUAGUGCGGUCAGGGUGGUACUCUGUGUCGAAGAUGAUAGGCAUGCUGGACCACUUCAGCGGCUUCCAUGUGUCGAACGACGGCUCCAUCGCUGUGAUCUCACAUGCACACUGCUUGAGCUGGCGGUGGGAUGUAUGCAGCGAGGCGCACGCACAUGGCCUCUGUAGCUUUUUGGAACUCGUGGUCGCCGGACUCAUCGUCCUCGUCAUGAUCAUCAUCUUCCUGCUUCUUGUCGCGGCCCCGAGCGGGCCUCUCUUGAUGAUUAUCUUUGCCGCGGCAGCCUCCUUGGCGGCCAUGCUUCUUGCCAGAUCCUUCGGCACCCUCUUGGCCCUUCUCCUUGUCCUGCCACUCAUACUCAGCUUUCUACUUCUCAGCGAGCAGCUCAACUUGCCGGCAGUUCUGGAGGUCAUGGCCCUUGGUGCGGUGGGUCUUGCAAUACUGCUUGUCGGAGCCCCUCGGCUUGUCGAUAGCCGCCAAGGCCCAGCAAGCGGCACACUCGGAAACCUCCUUGCCAGGAUCGCUUGCCUUGGCCUUCUUGGUUGCGUCGGUGUCAUCGAACCCCUCAACGGCAAGCAUAGUCUUGCCCUUGCACUUCCUGUUGUGGUGCCGGCCCUUCUUUGUCGGGGUGGCAGUGUCAUCCAUGGAGUCGGUUUCCGCGUUGGCGUCCUCACCGGGGUACUUCCUCCCCUCUUCAACUCGAGCGCACCGAUCGGCCAGAACAUAAAGCUCGGCCACAUCCUUGACCGUGUUCAUCACCAGCUCCUCAUGCAUCUUGCGGUUACGCACACUCUGAUGGAAUGCACUGAUCACAACUGCGGGAUGAACGUUUGGAAUAUUGUACUACACUCGGCUGGACCUUUGGAUAUACUUGCGCAAGUUUUCUGCUUCCUUUUGGGGGAUGAUAUGCAAAUCGCUCGCCUGGCCAUGAGCUUGGUGGCCUCCAGUAAAGGCGCCAACAAACUCAUGACACAGAUCCGCACAAGAAGAAAUGGAGUCCACCGGCAAGUGCAUCAACCAUGACAUAACAUUGGGCUUGAAGUAAUUGGCAAGCACCUUAUCGUCGUGAGCCCCAGCAGCUUGCAUCACGACAAUGUAGAUGCUAAGGAACUCCGACGGGUGAGUCUUGCCAUUGUACUUCUCGCCCACGUUGGGCUUGAACAUGCGGUGGGAGGGCCACUGGAACUGCCGCAGCUCACGGGUGAAGGCCGGGUAGCCCACCUCGUAGGGUAGGCCACCAUAGCCUCCCGGUGCUGGGUGGUCCAUAGUGGGCCCUGCCCGCCUGUCCGACUAGUGGCGCGCAUCGCGUCGGCACUCGAUGGUGGUUCGAGCAUCUUCAUGAGCUCGCUCCCGAAGAACUUGACGUUAGUCGCGAUGGGUUCGCGGGUCGGACGAUGCUAUGGAGAUAUCAUCAUGAGCGUCAUCACGAUGGAUUGACACCCAUGGUGGCUGGUGUGGAGGAGGGGAGUGCACCGUGGCCGCAUCACCUCCGGCCCGUCCACCGCUGGCAUGCGGUGGCUCGACAGAGCGACGGCCUACGGGACACGCCAGUCGCAACUCAUCUUUGUUGGCGAUGUCGACGAGGCUCCAGACGGUGGCCCUCCAUUCGUCGAGCUUCUCUACAGCAGGAGGAAUGUCGAGGAGCAGCUGUGCGCGUGCUAGGGCUUCUGCUGGUGUGGGCGGCGGCGAAAGCUGCAUGGACUGUGACGCGCUUCGACUUCUAACUACGUUAGAAGGAGCUCCAUCACGGCCAUGCGGCCAUCCGCCACCUCUGUCAACACCUCGACGCGCAUGCUGGCCCUCCUCGUCAUGUGAAGGGCGCGUGAGAUUCUUCCCAGGGCGGCGCCCAGGGUCACCAGCGGGCCGGCGCUGCUCAUCGCGCACGACCUGAGAAGAGCGCCCCGUGGGUGCCGGUGUUGGUGUCUUGGAGAUUGCUGCACCGCCGUCUGGCGGCACGACGACGCCCCUGGAGGGCCCCGCACCGCCCACAGGGGGCCCAACUCCGUCUCUGGAGUUCACGACGGUGGCUUGUUGCCUGGCGCACGAACGACGCCGCUCACUAGGCCCGGACUGCCAGGGUGAUGUGGAUGUUCACUGGCUGCGCCAGGGUUCUCUCCGCGACUGGCCCGCUACUGGUCCGCACCGAUACAGGCAGUCUGGUCCUGGACGAACCGAUCAUCGUGGUCGUCUUCUUCUUGGGAGCCAUGGCAAUGAAGAGCUGUGCCACUGGCUGCAAAACCAGAUGCUCACUACUGCGCGCCCCUACCUGGCGCGCCAAAGAUGUCGGUGGGAAAUGACACCUAUGGGAUCACAAGGAUCCCUACUACGGUUGCGGGGCGCUAGGUGGUAAGGAGAGCAGGAUCAGCAGUCAGUACGAGCACACGGAUCGUUUACCCAGGUUUGGGACGCAGAGAUGCGUAACACCCUAAUCCUGCUUCGAUGUGUGUAUGUGUGUUCUUGAGGUUCUUGAACUAGCUACAAUGGGCGUAACUUAUCCAAAAGUCCGAAUCCUCCUCCUGGAUGCCUUGGGCCUCCUUUUAUAGGCAAGGGAAUCGCCACAGUGGCACACAGGAGGUGGCAUCGGGGUACUGUGAUUAAGCCUAUCCCCUGCCAUUACAGGACAAGGUGCAUUUAAUGCACCCCAACGUCUCCCCUCCACUUUACCGCCGCUUUGCCCUACCUCGACACGCGCCCGGGCCAGCGAGGCGGUUAGCGCCAUGUAGGCUGGUAGGCUGCUGAGGUGGCAUGGUGGUAGGGCCUUCAUGAAGAUUUGCAUGCCACCACGUAGGCAUGUGCUGAGUUGGCUGAGAAGCCUGGUGCCGACACGUAGGUGACUGCCCAGCUGGUAGGCUGGCAGCUGCAUGGGAGCGGUGGCAGAGACCUGGCAGGUGCGGGCCUGGUCAUGGACCUGCGGAUGUCCUUGGCAAGGGCCUUGUUGGGGCCCCGGCAAGGGUCUUGCCGUGGCGUUGCGGUCGUCCCUAGAAAGGGUCUUGCCGGGGGUCUUGUGGGUUUCCUCGGCGAGGAUCUCGCCGAGGCUCGUCGUCUUUUACUCUUCUGAUUUGAGGUGUUCCUUGUCUUCAGAAAGAUCUGCAUGCCACCAUGGUGGCGCCUCCCGAGCCCAUGUCCCCACGUGGUUGGUGACGCUGGAGGAACUGGGGCCCAAGGGCGGCGCGCCCUGCUGGCGUCAGGUAGGCUACCCCGGCAAGGGCCUUGCCAGGGCCAUGGGGGCUGCCGCCGCAGGGACCUUGCCGGGGGAAACCACUUCGCCUUCUUGCUCUUUAUGCUUCUAUCUUGGUGUUGCUUGGGUCGUCAUGUGGCUUUGAUUUCCUAUCCCUGCCCUACUCAAGUGUGGUCGUGGGAACGGCUCUGACUGCCCAUGCACAAAUAAGGGGUACAAAAGAGCACCCCUAUUUUAGUACACCGACACUAUUGUACCUGAGGAUUAUAAUAUGGACGAGGAAACUACUGAGACUUUCUUGCUUGUAAUGAUAGAGAUGAUCUUAAGAAACUGUUAGCUAAGCUGAAAGAAAAGUCUUUGAGUGCUAGAAUGCAAUAUCUAUGUUUGCUACUUCACCUAUCUUUGUCUCUGAUAAGGAUUAUGAAUUCUCUGUCGAUCUUGAGUUAAUUACUUUGGUUGAAUCUGAUCCUUUCCAUGGUUAUGAAUCUGAAACUGUUGUGGCACAUCUUACUAAAUUGAAUGAUAUGGCCACCCUAUUUGCUCAUGAGGAAAAAAUCACUAUUACUAUAUUCUUAAGUUGUUUCCUUUGUCAAUAAAGGGUGAUGCUAAGUUAUGGUUUAAUUCUCUUGCUCUUGGUUGUGUGCGUAGUCCUCAGGAUAUGAUUUACUACUUCUCUGAAAAAUAUUUCCCUACUCAUAAGAAACAAGUUGUCUUAAAGGAAAUAUUUAACUUUGUGCAAAUUGAAGAAGAGAGUCUCCCACAUGCUUGGGGGAGGCUUCUCCAAUUACUUAAUGCUUUGCCUGAUCAUCCUCUCAUGAAAAAUGAAAUACUUGAUAUCUUUUAUAAUGGACUAAUAGAUGCUUACAGAGACCACCUGGAUAGUUGUGUUGGUUGUGUUUUCAGGGAAAGAACUGUUGAGCAAGCUGAAUUGCUAUUGAAUAAUAUAUUGAGUAAUGAUAAUGAUUGGACACCUCCUGAACCAACUCCUAAGCCAAGUCCGAAUAAAAGGGGUAUUCUAUUUCUCAGUCCUGAAGAUAUUCAAGAGGCAAAGAAAUCUAUGAAAGAAAAAGGUAUUAAAGCUGAAGAUGUUAAGAAUCUAUCACCUAUUGAAGAAAUACAUGGUCUUGAUAACCCGACAAAGGUAGUAGAGGUAAACUAUCUCCAUAUAUUUGAUGAAGGAGAUAUUCCUCAUAAUAAGUCUGCUAGUCAAUGCUUGGAUGAGUUUGAUAAUUUUAUUGUUAAACAAGAAAACUUCAAUGCUUAUGUUAGUAGACAAUUGAAACGUAAUGCUUACAUGGUUGACCACUUGGGUGAUUAUAUGAGUAGAACCGUUAAUGAUCUUAAGCUUAUUAGUAAGCAUGCUUCCAUGGUUACAACUCAAGUAGAACAAGUACUUAAGGCACAAGAUGAUUUGCUUAAUGAGUUGAAUAAUAUGAACAAUGAUAAAGUUGUUAGGGUUAUGACUAGAGGUGGUAAAAUGACCCAGGAACCUUUGUAUCCUGAGGGUCAUCCUAAGAGAGUUGAGCAAGAUUCUCAGAGAAUUAGUACUGAUGCACCUAGUCCUUCUAAUAAAAAGAAAAAGAAAACUGAUAGGACUGUGCAUGCUUCUAAUGAACCUAUUGUACAUACACCUGAGAAUCCUAAUGAUAUUUGUAUUUCUGAUGUCGAGACACAAUCUGGUGAUGAACAUGAACCUAGUGAUAAUGUUAAUCAUGAUGUUCAUGUUGAUGCUCAACCUAGUAAUGAUAAUGAUGUAGAGAUAGAACCUGAUGUUGAUCUUGAUAACCCACAAUUAAAGAAUCAACGUUAUGAUAAGAGAGAGUUCGUUGCUAGGAAGCAUAGUAAAGAAAGGGAACCAUGGGUUCAGAAACCCAUGCCCUUCCCCCCUAAGCCAUCCAAGAAAAAGGAUGAUGAGGAUUUUGAGCGCUUUGCUGAAAUGAUUUGACCUAUCUUCUUGCAUAUGCGUUUGACUGAUAUGCUUAAAAUGCCUCCCUAUGCUAAGUAUAUGAAAGAUAUUGUCACUAAUAAAAGAAAGAUACCGAAAGCUGAAAUUUCCACCAUGCUUGCUAAUUAUACUUUUAAGGGCGGAAUACCAAAGAAACUAGGAGAUCCACGGGUACCAACUAUACCAUGCUCCAUUAAAAGAAACUAUCUUAAAAUUGCUUUAUGUGAUCUUGGAGCCGGUGUUAGUGUUAUACCUUUCUCUUUAUAUCAUAGACUUGAAUUGAAUAAGUUGACACCUACUGAAAUUUCUUUGCAAAUGGAUAAUAAUUAAAUCAACUGCUAUAUCCAUCGGCAUUUGUGAGGAUGUGCCUGUUGUGGUUGCAAACAUUACUAUCUUAACGGACUUUGUUAUUCUUGAUAUUCCCGAGGACAACAGUAUGUCGAUCAUCCUUGCUAGACCCUUUUUGAAUACUGCAGGGGCUGUUACUGAUUCCAACAAAGGCGAUGUCAUUUUUCAUGUUAAUGGUAAUGAGCAUGCGGUACACUUUCCGAAGAAACAACCUCAAGCUCAUAGUAUCAAUUCUAUUGGAAAAUUUUCAACUAUUACUAUUGGAGGUUUUGAAUUCCCUCUUCCUACUGUCAAAAGAAAUAUGAUAUUCUUAUUGUUGGGGACAUGCAUAUCCCCGUUGAGGUAACCUAGUGUUAUUCGAAAAUUCUCCAGUUUCAUGUCAUUCGGAAGAAGUUUGUUAAUAGGACUCGAUCAACCUUGUUAAUGGAUUCCUUUUGAUGGGCAUGAGAUGGAUGAAUUUAGAAAGCACAACUUUCUAUUCCUACUUUUCACUUUCUAUUAUUCAUAUUAAAUAAAGCAAAAAUAGUAUUUUCUGUCUGUUCUCUGAAUUAUCCGUGUAAUAAAAAAUGUCCCGAAAAUAAAAGUUCUCCAAAUGCCCUGAAAAUUUAGUGUGAUUUUUAUAGAAUAUUUUAGAACUUCUCGCACUGAACAUGCACCAGGGGCAUGCACCAGUGGGCCACAAGGGUGGAGAGCACGCCCUACCCCCUCUGGGCGCUCCCCCCUGUCUUGUGGGUCCCACGUGGGUCCCCUCCACUUAUUCCAGCACCCAUCCUUCGUCUUCCUCCAGAAAAAAAUUAUCCCGUAGCUCAAACCCGUGUUCUUGCUCAUCUUGCUGCCAAACAGUUUUAUGGGAUUGUUCUUCAAUAUGUGACUCCUCCAAUGGUCCAAUUAAUUAGUUUUUGUUAUAGUGCUUUAUUUAUUUUCAAACUUUUGCUGUUGUGGUGACCUUGUUCUUGAUCUUGCAUGUCAAAUGUAUAUGUCCAAAGUAGUUUUGAUGCAUGAGAUAGCCUCUAGGUACUUGUAGGACUAGUUGCUAUCAAUCUUGUUGAGUUUGAUUCACUUUUAUUUUGAGUUACUAAAAAUUUUAGAAAUUUUUCAGAGAAAGAAAAUGAUGAGGAGAUUGUUGAGAGGCUCCUCGAGCCGGGAUUCAAAGGAAAAAGAAAAUGAAGAGAAGGAAAAGCCCAAGUACAAUCUUCCUCGUGCCGCGAAGAUUCGGUUGUGUGAAUGGCCAUAUGAUGCAUUCUUGGAGGCGACCGCAAUUUAUGAGGAUUUCUGUUAUUUGGCUGAGAAUGCAGGCAUCAUUGACUUUCUCCAUGAUAAGUGUGAUCAGUACCUCCUACUCACUAAUACUUUCGUGCAAAAUUUUCACUUUCAUGCUAGGAGAUCACCACCCACAGUAGAGUUUCACUUAUAUGAUGAGCAUAAGGAGAUGACGCUUUAUGACUUUUGUGAGGUUUGUAAGUUACCUUAUGAGGGUAGCGUCGACGAGCCACGUCCUAGAGAUGUGGAAGAUUUUACUGAUGAAGUUACCAUAGGUGAAAGGAGAAAUGUGUCAGAAGAGAGAGUGUCUAUUUUACAUUUUCCUAUUCUGCGCUACUACUCAUUAUUUGUUGGGAGAUGUUUAGUUGGUCACGGGGACAGUGGAGGCCUUAUUGCUCCUGACCUUGCCAUUUUGCACCAUGCUUUACUUCGUGAUAGAACUUUCAGUUUAGGCACUAUGGUUUCUAAACGGUUGAGUUUAAACCGUAUGAAGGGUCCUAUCUUUGGAGGUAUCUAUGCUUCCCGCCUUCCUAGACGCUUUGAGAUACCUAUUAGGCAUGAUGAGAAAGAGGAGAUGGUGUUGCCCACUAUUUACCUAGACUAUAACAGUAUGGUAGCACAUGAUUUUAUUCGCUAUAAUAAGGAAAAGAGACUCAUUUAUAACCGGGUAUUUAGUGAAAAGACUUGUCAGAUUAUUACCUUGCCCGCACCUUCUUUGUUUAAUAUUCAUUUAGGCACAUACCUCAUCAUGCCCGAGGACAUUUAUGCAUACUGGGAGCGGACCCGAUCCCUAGUUCCUGAGCCAGAGCCAUCACCUGAUCCGUAUCAGGAGUCUAUUUAUCACUGGGAGCCGCAGGAGCUCGCUAACCAGUGGAACCCCCAGGAUCCUCCUUAGUACGCCGGAGAGGGCUACUUUGAUCCAUGGGCUUAGACCAACUUAGGCGAAAAGCCUAAGCUUGGGGGAGUACGUAUUUCUCACUGACAUUACAUUCAUGUUCACACACUCAUUCCAGUUAUCGAUGUUCAUACUUUUUCAUUGUAUUAUCCAUGUUAGUUUAUUUCUUUUUCUCGCUUUCUUCUUGUGUGUUUGAAAAAAUUUGAGGAAUUCUAAAAAAAUUAGUUGUAUCUUCUAGUUAGUUUACUUUCUAUGCUUAGUUGUAGUAUUAACGAAAACCCAAAAGAUUUCUCGUUCUUCUUUUGCUUGUUGGGAGCUUUCCCGUGUAAAUAGUUUUUCUCAUUCUUGUUUUUGCUUUCUUUAGAAAAAAAACUCAAAAAAACAUUUAGUUUGUUUCUUGGAAAUUCUUUUCUUUUCUUUGGGGGUCCAGAGGAGAAGACCAUGAUGAAAAUGUUGAGUGGCUCUCAUAUGCAUUAUUGUUGAUGUAACAAAGAGCCCAUAUUACCUCGUCUUCUCCUUUGAAUAAACGUUUGCAGAUUCUGGCUUAGUCCAAUGCAUGUGCACUAUUAUUAUUAUCCACACCAUUCGGUCGUGCAAGUGAAAGGCAAUACUGACGAUAUAUGAUGAAAUGAUUGAGAUGAGGAAAAACUGGUAUGAACUCGACCUAUCUUGUUUUUGUAAAUAUGAUUAGUUCAUAGUUCUUGAUUCAGCUCAUUACGAAUGAAACAUGUUUUCAACGAUAAUUAGAUAUUAUAGUUACUCAUGACAUGCUUAAUUAGUUAGGAGUUUAUAAUGGUUUACCUUGCGUGUCGACAUGCUUUUAAAAAAUGGUUGUGAUGUAGUAUGAUAGGAUGGUAUCCUCCUUUGAAUGAUUCAAGUGGCUUGACUUGGCACAUGUUCACGCAUGUAGUUGAAAUAAAAACAACAUAGCCUCCACGAUAUUUAUGUUCAUGGUGAUUUAUAUCCUACUCAUGCUUGCACUCAAUGUUGGUUAAUCUUAAUGCAUGUUCAUGACUGUUGUCACUCUCUAGUUGGUCGCUCCCAGUCUUUUUCUAGCCUUCACUUGCACUAAGCGGGAAUACUGCUUGUGCAUCCACUUCCAUAAACCCAAAGUUGUUCCAUAUGAGUCCACCAUACCUACCUAUAUGCGGUAUUUACCUGCCGUUCCAAGUAAAUUUGCAUGUGCCAAACUCUAAACCUUCAAAUGAAAUUCUGUUUUGUAUGCAUGAAUUGCUCAUGUGGCGACUGGGGGCUUUCAGUAUCUUCUGUUCUAGGUGGAUUAUUCUCAUGAUGAGUGGACUCCACUCAUCAUUCACGAGAAAAUGGCUGGUAAUCGGGAUGUCCAGUCCCAUGCUCAAAUCAAAUCAAAAUUAUAUCAAACAAAACUCCCCCGGGAUUGUUAUUAGUUGGACGGUACCCAUUGUUUCGGACCAGCCAUGGAAUGUGUUUGUUGGGUGAGGGGGAGUAUAAACUUUACCAUUUUGUUUGGGAACCACCUAUAAUGUAUGUAGCAAUAUCUUGGUUGUUAUGUUGACGAUGAAAGCAUACUGCUCAAAAUAUUAUUUAUCUCUAUUUCAAAAACUCGAGCUCUGGCACCUCUGCAAAUCCCUGCUUCCCUCUGCGAAUGGCCUAUCUAUUUACUUUUAUUGCUGAGUCAUCAUCCUCUUAUAAAAAGCACCAGUUAGAGAGCACCACUAUCAUCUGUAUGCGUUGCUAUUAAUUUAAAUUGAGUAUGACUGUGACUGGAUCUCUUUUGCCAUGAAUUACAAUGUCUAGUUAGUCCUUGAUCUUCACGGGUGCUCUGCAUUUAUGUUUUGCGGUCUCAGAAAGGGCUAGCGAGAUACCAACUUGUUAUAUCAUAUCAUGAUUGUUUUGAGAAAGUGUUUUCAUUCGAGAUUUAUUAUUAUUGCUCGCUAGCUGAUUAUGCCAUUGAUAUGAGUAAACAUGAGACCUAAAUGUUAUUGCAAAUAUGGUUAGUUCAUAAUCUUUGCUGAAAACUUGAAUUCUGGCUUUACAUAUUUGCAACAACAAGAUCAAAUAGAGUUUGUAAAAUUUUUCUUUAUCACUUUCAGUUUGUCAACUAAAUUGCUUGAGGACAAGCAAUGGGUUAAGCUUGGGGGAGUUGAUACGUCUCCAUUGUAUCUACUUUUCCAAACUCAUUUGCCCUUGUUUUGGACUCUAAUUUGCAUGAUUUGAAUGGAGUUAACCCGGACUGACGUUGUUUUCAGCAGAAUUGACAUUGUGUUAUUUUUAUGGAGAAAUAAAAGUUCUCGGAAUGACCUGAAACUUCACGGAGAUUAUUUUUGGAAUAAAUAAAAAAUAUUGGCGAAAGAAUCAACCAAAGGGGACCCACACCCUGUCCACAAGGGUGGAGGGCGCGCCCACCCCCCUAGGGCGCGCCCUCUAGUCUUGUGGGUCCUACGAAGCUCCACCGAUCUUAACUCCAACUCCAUAUAUUCAUGUUCAGGGAGAGAAAAAUCAGAGGGAAGGAUUCAUCACGUUUUACGAUAUGGAGCCACUGCCACAUCUUGUUCUUCCUCGGGGGGGGGGGACAGAUCUCGAGUCCGUUUUGGUCUCCGGAGAGGGGAAAUUGUCGCCGUCAUCAUCAUCAACCAUCCUCCAUCACCAAUUUCAUGAUGAUCACCGCCAUGCGUGAGUAAUCACAUCGUAGGCUUGCUAGACGGUGAUGGGUUGGAUGAUAUUUACCAUGUAAUUGAGUUAGUUUUGUUAGGGUUUGAUCCCUAGUGUCCACUAUGUUCUAAGAUUGAUGUUGCUAUGACUUUGCUAUGCUUAAUGCUUGUCACUAGGGCCAAAGUGCCAUGAUUUCAGAUCUGAACCUAUUAUAUUUUCAUGAAUAUAUUUGUGUUCUUGAUAUUAUCUUGCAAGUUAUAGUCACCUACUACGUCUUAUGAUCCGGCAAACCCAGAGUGACAAUAGUCGGGCCACUUCCCGGUGAUGACCGUAGUUUGAGGAGUCCUUGUAUUCACUAAGUGCUAAUGCUUUGGUUUGGUACUCUAUUAAUAGGAGGUAUUAAUAUCCCUUAGUUUCCAAUAGGACCCCGUUGCUACGGGAGGGUAGGACAAAAUAUGCCAUGCAAGUUCUCUUCCAUAAGCACGUAUGACUAUAUUCGGAAUACAUGCCUACAUUAUAUUGAUGAAUUGGAGCUAGUUCUAUGUCAUCCUAGGUUGUAACUAUUGCAUGAUGAAUGCCAUCCGACAUAAUUAUCCAUCAUUGAUACAUUGCCUACGAGUUCGUUUCAUAUUGAUCUUUGCUUAGUUACUUUUCCAUUGCCACAUUUACGAUUGCUACAAAACUACUACCGCCCGUUACCGUUACUUCCGUACUACUUUGCUACAAAAUACUUUGCUGCAGAUAUUAAGUCUUUUGGGUGUGGUUGAAUUGACAACUCAGCUGCUAAUACUUGAGAAUAUUCUUUGGCUCCCCUUGUGUCGAAUCAAUAAAUUUGGGUUGAAUACUCUACCCUUGAAAACUGUUGUGAUCCCUUAUACUUGUGGGUUAUCACACUGCCACCUUGACCCGUCCACCACCAAUGGCUGAAUUGUUGGCACUUCCACUCGCAGUAGGAAUUUUCGUCGUGCCCUGCCCAAACCAUCUCCUUUGACAAGACACUGCCAGCCUAGGCAUCCAACCAACCCCCUAACACUCAGACACUAGAACCCCCCCCCNNNNNNNNNNNNNNNNNNNNNNNNNNNNNNNNNNNNNNNNNNNNNNNNNNNNNNNNNNNNNNNNNNNNNNNNNNNNNNNNNNNNNNNNNNNNNNNNNNNNNNNNNNNNNNNNNNNNNNNNNNNNNNNNNNNNNNNNNNNNNNNNNNNNNNNNNNNNNNNNNNNNNNNNNNNNNNNNNNNNNNNNNNNNNNNNNNNNNNNNNNNNNNNNNNNNNNNNNNNNNNNNNNNNNCCUCCAUACCCACACGACAUUAGACCCACAACCAUCAACCUACAUCUCACCUGGCAUUGUUUCGUGAGCAAAACUAAUCGUGUCUCACAAAUGUACAUCAACUCUUUGCACAAAGUUAGCAAGCUCUGAAGAAAACAUAGAUACUUUUAAUUUUUGUUUUGUCUGGUAAAAAGGUAAUCAUUGAAGGAAAUAUGCCCGAGAGGCAAUAAUAAAGUUGUUAUUUUAUAUUUCCUUAUAUCAUGAUAAAUGUUUAUUAUUCAUGCUAGAAUUGUAUUAACCGGAAACAUGAUACAUGCAUGGAUACAUAGACAAAACAUUGUGCCCCUAGUAAGCCUCUACUAGACUAGCUCGUUAAUCAAAGAUGGUUAAGUUUCCUAACUAUAGACUUGUGUUGUCAUUUGAUGAACGGGAUCACAUCAUUAGGAGAAUUAUGUGAUGGAAAAGACUCAUGCGUUAGCAUAGCAUAUUGAUCGUUUAGCUUUAUUGCUAUUGCUUUCUUCAUGUCAAAUACAUAUUCCUUCGACUAUGAGAUUAUGAAACUCCCGGAUACCAAAGGAAUGCCUUGUAUGCUAUCAAACAUCACAACGUAACUGGGUGAUUAUAAAGAUUCUCUAAAGGUAUCUCCGAAGGUGUUUGUUGGGUUGGCAUAGAUCGAGAUUAGAAUUUUUCACUCCGAGUAUCGGAUAGGUAUCUAUAGGCCCUCUCGGUAAUGCACAUCAUAAGAAGCCUUGCAAGCAAAGUGACUAAUGAGUUAGUUGCGGGAUAAUGUAUUACGGAAUGAGUAAAGAGACUUGCCGGUAAGGAGAUUGAACUAGGUAUGUGGAUACCAAUGAUCGAAUCUCGGGCAAGUAACAUACCGAUGACAAAGGGAAUACCGUAUGUUGUCAUAACGGUACGACCGAUAAAGAUCUUCGUAGAAUAUGUAGGAACCAAUAUGAGCAUCUAGGUUUCAUUGUUGGUUAUUGAUCGGAAAGGUGUCUCGGUCAUGUCUACAUAGUUCUCGAACCCCUAGGGUCUGCACGCUUAACGUUCGAUGACAAUUUUGUAUUAUAUGAGUUAUGUGAUUUGGUGACCAAACGUUGUUCGGAGUCCUGGAUCAUAUCACGGACAUGAUGAGGAGUCUCAAAAUGGUCGACAGGUAAAGAUUGAUAUAUAGGACGGUAGUAUUCGGACAUCAGAAGUGUUCCGGAGGGUACUAGGUACAUAUCGAGUCACCGGAAGGGGUUCCGGGCACUCCCGGCAAAGAUAUGGGCCUUAUUGGGCCAAGAGAGGGACAGACCAUCCCACAAGGGGCUGGUGCACCCCCAUAUAGGCCGAAAUAGGAGGAGAAGGAAAGGAGGGAAGGGAGAAGCAAAGGGGAGGAUUCGCNNNNNNNNNNNNNNNNNNNNNNNNNNNNNNNNNNNNNNNNNNNNNNNNNNNNNNNNNNNNNNNNNNNNNNNNNNNNNNNNNNNNNNNNNNNNNNNNNNNNNNNNNNNNNNNNNNNNNNNNNNNNNNNNNNNNNNNNNNNNNNNNNNNNNNNNNNNNNNNNNNNNNNNNNNNNNNNNNNNNNNNNNNNNNNNNNNNNNNNNNNNNNNNNNNNNNNNNNNNNNNNNNNNNNNNNNNNNNNNNNNNNNNNNNNNNNNNNNNNNNNNNNNNNNNNNNNNNNNNNNNNNNNNNNNNNNNNNNNNNNNNNNNNNNNNCCCUUCGAUACUUAUGGAACGGGGAGGCCGACUUGGAGGAGGUGCCCAAGUAGGAUCCCUCCUACUUGGGGUGCUCCUUGCUGCUCCCCUCCCUCUCGCACCUAUAUAUAUGUGGGGGGCACCGCUAGAACACACAACAUUGAUUCCUAGCCGUGUGUGGCACUUCCCUCCAAAGUUUACGCUUCCGGUCAUAUCUCGUAGUGCUUAGGCGAAGCUCUGCAUGGAUCACUUCACCAUCACCGUCACCACGCCGUCGUGCUGAUGGAACUCUCCCUCGACACUUUGCUAGAUAAAGAGUUUGAGGGACGUCAUUGAGCUGAACAUGUGCAGAAGUCAUAGGUGUCGUACGCUCGGUGCUUGAUUGGUUGGGGCGAGAAGAAGUUCGACUAUAUCAACCGCAUUGUGAAACGCUUACGCUUUCGAUCAACUUGGGUACGUGGACACACUCUCCCCCUCUCGUUGCUAUGCAUCUCCUAGAUAGAUCUUGUGUGAGCGUAGGAAUUUUUUUGAAAUUGCAUGCUACGUUUCCCAACAGUGGUAUCAGAGCCAGGUCUAUGCAUAGAUGAUAUGCAUGAGUAGAACACAAAGAGUUGUCAGUGGUGAUCGUCAGACUGCUUACCACCAAUGUCUUAUUUUGAUUCGGCAGUAUUGUUGGAUGAAGCGGCCCGGACCAACCUUACAUGACCACGUUCAUGAGACCGGUUCCACUGACAGACAUGCAACUAGUUUUGCAUAAAGCUGGCUGGCGGGCCCGGGUGUCUGUUUCUCCAACUUUAGUUGAAUCAAAUUUGACUAAGGCCGGUCCUUGUUGAAGGUUAAAACAGCAAACUUGAUAAAUCACCGUUGUGGUUUUGAUGCGUAGGUAAGAAAGGUUCUUCCUAGAAGCCCGUAGCAGCCACGUAAAACUUGCAACAACAAAGUAGAGGACGGCUAACUUGUUUUUGCAGGGCAUGUUGUGAUGUGAUAUGGUCAAGACAUGAUGUGAUAUACGUUAUUGUAUGAGAUGAUCAUGUUUUGUAAAAGUUAUCAGCAACCGGUAGGAGCCUUAUGGUUGUCUCUUUAUUGUACAAAAUGCAAACACCAUGUAAUUGCUUUACUUUAUCACUAUGCGUUAGCGAUAGUUGUAGAAGCAAUAGUUGGCAAGAUGACCACGGCACAACGAUGGAGAUCAAGGUGUCGAGCCGGUAACAAUGGAGAUCAUAAGGAUGCUUUGGAGAUGGAGAUCAAAAGCACGAGAUGAUGAUGGCCAUAUCAUGUCACAUAUUUUGAUUGCAUGUGAUGUUUAUCUUUUAUGCAUCUUAUUUUGCUUAGUACGGCAGUACCAUUAUAAGAUGGUCCCUUGGCUAAAUUUCAAGGUAUAAGUGCGUUGGGCAACGCAGUAAUUUCAAAAAAAUUCCUACGAUCACACAAGAUCUAUCACAAGGUGAUGCAUAGCAACGAGAGGGGAGAGUGUUGUCUACGUACCCUCGUAGACCGAAAGCGGAAGCGUUAUGACAACGCGGUUGAUGUAGUCGUACAUCUUCACGAUCCGACCAAUCCUAGCACCGAAGGUACGGCACCUCCGCAAUCUGCACAUGUUCAGCUCGGUGACAUCCCACGAACUCUAGAUCUAGCUGAGGUUGAGGGAGAUUUUCGUCAGCACGACGGGAUGGUGACGGUGAUGAUGAAGUUACCGGCGCAGGGCUUCGCCAAGCACUACGACGAUAUGACCGACGUGUGUAACUGUGAAGGGGGGGCACUGCACACGGCUAAAACAAUCAUCAACUUGUGUGUUCUAGGGUGCCCCAUGCCCCCGUAUAUAAAGGAGCAAGGGGGAGGCCGGCCGGCCCUCCAAGCGCGCGCCCCCAAUAGGGGAAUCCUACUAGGACUCCAAGUCCUAGUAGGUUUCCUCCUAAAGGGGGGGAGGGGGAAGGAAGGAGAGGGCGAGGGGGAAGGCAAGGGGGGCGCCCCCCCCCCCCCUCCUUGUCCUAUUCGGAAUCAAGGGAAGGGGGCGCACGGCCUGCCCUGGCCGGCCCCUCUCUCUCUCCACUAGGGCCCAUCGAGGCCCAUUAGUUCCCCUGGGGGUUCCGGUAACCCUUCGGCACUCCGGUUUUAUCCCAAACUUAUCCGGAACACUUCCGGUGUCCUAAUGUAGUCGUCCAAUAAAUCAAUAUUUAUGUCUCGACCAUUUUGAGACUCCUCGUCAUGUCCGUGAUCUCAUACGGGACUCCGAACAACCUUCAGUACAUUCGGGACUCCAAACAAUCUUUGGUACAUCGAUGUCUACUACACAACCUUCUUCUUGUAGACGUUGUUGGGCCUGCAAGUGCACAGGUUUGUAGGACAGUAGCAAAUUUCCCUCAAGUGGAUGACCUAAGGUUUAUCAAUCCGUAGGAGGCAUAGGAUGAAGAUGGUCUCUCUCAAACAACCCUGCAACCAAAUAACAAAGAGUCUCUUGUGUCCCCAACACACCCAAUACAAUGGUAAAUUGUAUAGGUGCACUAGUUCGGCGAAGAGAUGGUGAUACAAGUGCAAAAUAGAUAGUAGAUAAAGGUUUUUGUAAUCUGAAAUUAUAAAAACAGCAAGGUAACAAGUGGUAAAAGUGAGCGUAAACGUUAUUGCAAUGGUAGGAAACAAGGCAUAGGGUUCAUACUUUCACUAGUGGAAGUUCUCUCAACAAUAAUAACAUAGAUAGAUCAUAUAACAAUCCCUCAACAUGCAACAAAGAGUCACUCCAAAGACACUAAUAGCGGAGAACAAACGAAGAGAUUAUGGUAGGGUACGAAACCACCUCAAAGUUAUUCUUUCGGAUCAAUCUAUUCAAGAGUUCGUACUAGAAUAACACCUUAAGACACAAAUCAACCAAAACCCUAAUGUCACCUAGAUACUCCAUUGUCACCUCAAGUAUCCGUGGGCAUGAUUAUAUGAUAUGCAUCACACAAUCUCAGAUUCAUCUAUUCAACCAACACAAAGUACUUCAAAGAGUGCCCCAAAGUUUCUACCGGAGAGUCAAGAACGUGUGCCAACCCCUAUGCAUAGGUUCAUGGGAGGAACCCGCAAAUUGGUCACCAAAACAUACAUCAAGAGGCACAUGAUAUCCCAUUGUCACCAUAGAUAAGCACGGCAAGACAUACAUCAAGUGUUCUCGUAAAAGACUCAAUCCGAUAAGAUAACUUCAAAGGGGAAAACUCAAUUCAUCACAAGAGAGUAGAGGGGAAGAAACAUCAUAAGAUCCAACUACAAUAGCAAAGCUCGGGAUACAUCAAGAUUGUGCCAUAGAGGGAACACGAGAGAGAACACAAGAGAGAGAGAUCAAACACAUAGCUACUGGUACAUACCCUCAGCCCCGAGGGUGAACUACUCCCUCCUCAUCAUGGAUAGCACCAGGAUGAUGAAGAUGGCCGCCGGUGAAGGAUCCCCCCUCUGGCAGGGUGCCGGGAAGGGCUCCCGAGAGGUUUUUGGUGGCUACAGAGGCUUGCGGCGGUGGAACUCCCAAUCUAUCUUGAUUUUUAAUGGUUUUAGGGUACGUAGGCUUAUAUAGGCGAAAGAAGUUGGUCAGGGGGUGCUCGAGGGGUCCACAAGACAGGGGGCCGCGCCCUGUAGGGGGGGCGCCCCCUAUCUCUUGGGCUCCUCGAGGAUCUUCUCACUUGAUCUCCAAGCCUCCAGGAUGAUAAUCUUCCAAAAAAUCACGAUGCCGAAGGUUUCAUUCUGUUUGGACUCCGUUUGAUAUUACUUUUCUUUGAAAUACUGAAAUAGACAAUAAAACAGCAAUAUGGGCUGGGUCUCCGGUUAAUAGGUUAGUCCCAAAAGUAUUAUAAAAGUGUAUAAUAAAGCCCAUAAUAAUUCAAAACACAUAGUAAUAUAGCAUGAAUGCUUCAUAAAUUAUAGAUACGUUGGAGACGUAUCAGCAUCCCCAAGUUUAUUCCUACUCGUCCUCGAGUAGGUAAAUGAUAAAGAAAGAAUUUAUGAAGUGUGAAUGCUAGAAGGUGCACAAGUUUGAUCAAUGAUAAUUUCAAUCACCUUUUCUAGCAUCAUUACAUGUCAUAACAAUAGUUCAUCUCAUAAAACUUCUCAACAAUAAGUAACAAGCAAUUCACAUGUUAAAGCGUAGACCAUAAACUUUCUUGAAAACUAGCAAACUUCAUUCUUAGUCAUCAAACAAUUGCAAUUCAUCUUAUUUUCAGGAAGAGUCUAUGUCAGAGCUUUGAUUUAGCAAACUUCACAUACUCAACUAUCAUAUAGUCUUCUACAAUUGCUAACACUCACGCAAUACUUGUGGUUAUGAAGUUUUAAUCAGACACAGAGAAAGAUUGGGGCUUAUAAUGUUGCCUCCAAACGUAUUCACCUUUGGGUGAUGUCAACAAUAAUAGUUCAUGCUAACGUACAUCCAAUUGGAUAUAUAUAUCAGGAUCACCCCACCACGAAGUGCUUGCCAAAGGAUAAAAUGAAAAAGGGAAAGGUGAAGAUCACCUUGACUCUUGCAUAAAGUAAAAGACAUAAAGUAAAAGAUAGGCCCUUCGCAGAGGGAAGCAGAGGUUUUCAUGCGCUUUUAGGGUUGGAUACACAAAAUCUUAAUGCGAAAGAACGUCACUUUAUAUUGCCCCUUGUAUAUGGACCUUUAUUAUGCAGUCUGUCGCUUUUAUUGCUUCCAUAACAAGUUCGUACAAAGCUUAUUUUCUCCACACUAAUAAGUCAUGCAUAUUUAGAGAGCAAUUUUUAUUGCUUGCACCGAUGACAACUUACUUGAAGGAUCUUACUCAAUCCAUAGGUAGGUAUGGUGGACUCUCAUGGCAAAAACUGGGUUUAAGGAUAUUUGGAAGCACAAGUAGUAUCUCUACUUGGUGCUAGGAAUUUUUGGCUAGCAUGAGGGGGAAAGGCAGGCUCAACAUGUUUGAAUGAUCCAUGACAAUAUACUUUAACUGAGAUGCGAGAAAACAUAACCCAUUAUGUUGUCUUCCUUGUCCAACAUCAACUCUUUAGCAUGUCAUACUUAAUGAGUUCUCACAAUUAUAAAAGAUGUCUAUGAUAAUAUAUUUAUAUGUGAAAUAUCUCUUCCUUCAAUAUUCUUUCAUGAAUUAUUCAAAUGACCAAUACAAUGCUUGCUAACCGUCAAUAAAUUUACAACCUCUACUUCUUAGAUGUGAAGUCAUUACUCCCCAUGGAGUAAGCAAAUGAAACAUAUAUAAUUUCAGAUUUAUGACAUUCAACUCAUUGAACCAUUUACUCAUAGGAUAUAAGUGAAGCACACGAGUAAAUGAAAAACUACUCAAAAAGAUAUAAGUGAAGACCAAUGAGUAGCUAAAUAAUUAUGCAACUAUGUGAAGACUCUCUCUCAUUGAAGGAUUUCAGAUCUUGGUAUUGUAUUCGAGAGGCAAGAAAAACAAAAUAAAAUGACAUUGCAAGGAUAGCACAACUCAUGUGAAGAAGCAAAAACUUAGGUUCAACCAAUACUAACCGAUAGUUGUUGAAGAAGAAAGGUGGGAUGCCUACCAGGGCAUCCCCAAGCUUAGAUGCUUGAGACUUCUUGAAAUAUUAUCUUGGGGUGCCUUGGGCAUCCCCAAGCUUGAACUUUUGUGUCUCCUUAAUUCCUCUCAUAUCAUGGUUUCUCAUUUUAUCAAAAGCUUCAUUCACAACAAACUCAACAAGAACUCGUGAGAUAGGUUAGUAUAAACCAAUGCAAAACCUUAUCAUUUUAUACUGUAACAAAUCACUAACAUUAUUAUUCAACAUUUAAUACUAAAUGUCUCUGCAUAUUUAAUACUCCUAUCCUCAAAUAGAAUCAUUAAACAAGCAAACAUAUGCAAACAAUGCAACCAUAACAGCAAUCUGCCAAAACAGUACAGUCUGUAAAGAAUGCAAGAGUAUCAAUACUUACCUGACUCCAAAAAUUAUGAGAGAAAAUUCCCACUGUAAUAAAUUUAAUAUGCAAAAAGAUUCAACAUUAUACCAUUCUCUGACUUUUAUAGGGAAUUUUUGCAACAGCGGUAAACUUUCUGUUUUCAAACAGCAACAUGUAUACUAGCAAAACAAGCAUGGUAAAGGCUAUCCUUGACAUUUUUAUUGAAAAUAAAGAUGCAAAACAUUAUUCUAACUAAAAUCAAGCAAAAACUAACAAAAUAAAAUGACGCUCCAAGCAAAACACAUAGCAUGUGGCGAAUAAAAAUAUAGCUCCAAGUAAAGUUACCGAUGAACGAAGACGAAAGAGGGGAUGCCUUCCGGGACAUCCCCAAGCUUAGGCUUUUGGUUGUACUUGAAUAUUACCUUGGGGUGCCUUGGGAAUCUCCAAGAUUAGGAUCGCACCACUCCUUAUUCCAUAGUCCAUCGAAUCUUUACCCAAAACUUGAAAACUUCAACCACACAAAACUCAAAACAAAACUCGUAAGCUCCGUUAGUAUAAGAAAAUAAAACCACCACUUAGGUACUGUAAUGAACUCAUUCUAAAUUCAUAUUGGUGUAAAACCUACUGUAUUCUAACUUAUCUAUGGUUCAUACCCUCCGGUACUACUCAUAGAUUCAUCAAAAUAAGCAAACAACACAAUGAAAACAGAUUCUGUCAAAAACAGAACAGUCUGUAGUAAUCUGUAUCAAACGUAUACUUCUGGAACCCCAAAAAUUAUGAAAUAAAUUGCUGGACCUGAGUAAUUUGUCUUUUAAUCAUCUGCAAAAAUAAUUAACCUAAAAUCACUCUCCAGUAAACAAUGGCAGCUAAUCUCGUGAGCGCUAAAGUUUCUGUUUUUCACAGCAAGAUCAUAUAAACUUCACCAAAGUCUUCCCAAAGGUUCUACUUGGCACUUUAUUGAAAUAGAAGCUAUAAAAAAUUAUUAAUACAGUAGCAUAAUCAUCUGGACACACAAAAACAGUAAGGAUAAAUAUUGGGUUGUCUCCCAACAAGCGCUUUUCUUUAACGCCUUUCUAGCUAGGCAUGAUGAUGACAAUGAUGCUCACAUAAAAGAUAAGAAUUGAAACAUAGUGGGAGCAUAAUGAAGCAUAUGACUAGAACAUUUAAGUCUAACCCACAUCCUAUGCAUAGGGAUUUUGUGAGCAAACAACUUAUGGGAAAAAUGAUCAACUAGCAUUGGAAGGUAAAACAAGCAUAGCUUCAAAAAUUUAAGCACAUAGAGAGAAAACUUGACAUUAUUGCAAUUCCUACAAGCAUAUGUUCCUCCCUCAUAAUAAUUUUCAGUAGCAUCACGAAUGAAUUCAAAAAUAUAACCAUCACCUAAAGCAUUCUUUUCAUGAUCUACAAGCAUAGAAAAUUUACUACUCUCCCCAUAAGCAAAAUUCUUCUCAUGAAUAGUAGUGGGAGCAAACUCAACAAAAUAAUUAUCAUGUGAGGCAUAAUCCAAUUGAAAACUAAAAUCAUGAUGACAAGUUUCAUGUUUAUCAUUAUUCUUAAUAGCAUACAAGUCAUCACAAUAAUCAUCAUAGAUAGCAACUUUGUUCUCAUAAUCAAUUGGAACCUCUUCCGAAAUAGUGGAAUCAUCACUAAAUAAAGUUGACACUCUUCCAAAUCCACUUUCAUGUUCAUCACAAUAAGAUUCAACAUCCUACAAAAUAGUGGGAUCACUACUUCCUAAAGUUGACACUCUUCCAAACCCACUUUCAUCAAUAUAAUCAUCAUAAAUAGGAGGCAUGCUUUCAUCAUAAUAAAUUUGCUCAUCAAAACUUGGGGGACAAAAAAUAUCAUAUUCAUCAAACAUAGCUUCCCCAAGCUUGUGGCUUUGCAUAUCAUUAGCAUCAUGGAUAUUCAGGGAAUUCAUACUAACAACAUUGCAAUCAUGCUCAUCACACAAACCAAAAAUUUUAGUGCAUUCUUUUUCUAGCACUUGAGCACAAUUUUCCUUUCCAUCAUACUCACGAAAGAUAUUAAAAAGAUGAAGCGUAUGAGACAAACUUAACUCCUUUUUUUGUAAUUUUCUUUUAUAAACUAAACUAGUGAUAAAACAAGAAACAAAAAGAUUCGAUUGCAAGAUCUAAAGAUAUACCUUCAAGCACUCACCUCCCCAGCAACGGCGCCAGAAAAGAGCUUGAUGUCUACUACACAACCUUCUUCUUGUAGACGUUGUUGGGCCUGCAAGUGCACAUGUUUGUAGGACACUAGAAAAUUUCCCUCAAGUGGAUGACCUAAGGUUUAUCAAUCCGUAGGAGGCAUAGGAUGAAGAUAGUCUCUCUCAAACAACCCUGCAACCAAAUAACAAAGAGUCUCUUGUGUCCCCAACACAUCCAAUACAAUGGUAAAUUGUAUAGGUGCACUAGUUCGGCGAAGAGAUGGUGAUGCAAGUGCAAAAUAGAUAGUAGAUAAAGGUUUUUGUAAUCUGAAAUUAUAAAAACAGCAAGGUAACAAGUGGUAAAAGUGAGCGUAAACGGUAUUGCAAUGGUAGGAAACAAGGCAUAGGGUUCAUACUUUCACUAGUGCAAGUUCUCUCAACAAUAAUAACAUAGAUAGAUCAUAUAAAAAUCCCUCAACAUGAAACAAAGAGUCACUCCAAAGACACUAAUAGCGGAGAACAAACGAAGAGAUUAUGGUAGGGUACGAAACCACCUCAAAGUUAUUCUUUCGGGUCAAUCUAUUCAAGAGUUCGUACUAGAAUAACACCUUAAGACACAAAUAAACCAAAACCCUAAUGUCACCUAGAUACUCCAUUGUCACCUCAAGUAUUCGUGGGCAUGAUUAUACGAUAUGCAUCACACAAUCUCAGAUUCAUCUAUUCAACCAACACAAAGUACUUCAAAGAGUGCCCCAAAGUUUAUACCGGAGAGUCAAGAACGUGUGCCAACCCCUAUGCAUAGGUUCAUGGGUGGAACCCACAAGUUGGUCACCAAAAGAUACAUCAAGAGGCACAUGAUAUCCCAUUGUCACCACAGAUAAGCACGGCAAGACAUACAUCAAGUGUUCUCAUAAAAGACUCAAUCCAAUAAGAUAACUUCAAAGGGGAAAACUCAAUUCAUCACAAGAGAGUAGAGGGGAAGAAACAUCAUAAGAUCCAACUACAAUAGCAAAGCUCGGGAUACAUCAAGAUCGUGCCAUAGAGGAACACGAGAGAGAGAGAGAGAUCAAACACAUAGCUACUAGUACAUACCCUUAGCCCCGAGGGUGAACUACUCCCUCCUCGUCAUGGAUAGCGCCGGGAUGAUGAAGAUGGCCACCAGUGAAGGAUGCCCCCUCCAGCGGGGUGCCGGGAAGGGCUCCCGAGAGGAUUUUGGUGGCUACAGAGGCUUGCGGCGGCGGAACUCCCGAUCUAUCUUGAUUUUUAAUGGUUUUAGGGUACGUAGGCUUAUAUAGGCGAAAGAAGUCGGUCGGGGGGUGCUCGAGGGGUCCACGAGACAGGGGGGCGCACCCUGUAGGGGGGCGCCCCUAUCUCCUGGGCUCCUCGAGGAUCUUCUGACUUGAUCUCCAAGCCUCCAGGAUGAUAAUCUUCCAAAAAAUCACGAUGCCGAAGGUUUCAUUCCGUUUGGACUCCGUUUGAUAUUCUUUUUCUUCGAAAUACUGAAACAGACAAUAAAACAACAAUAUGGGUUGGGCCUCCGGUUAAUAGGUUAGUCCCAAAAAUAAUAUAAAAGUGUAUAAUAAAGCCCAUAAUCGUCCAAAACACAUAGUAAUAUAGCAUGAAUGCUUCAUAAAUUAUAGAUAGGUUGGAGACGUAUCAUACAUCAUAUCACAUAAACUCAUAAUACCAAUCGUUAUCGAAUGUUAAGCAUGCGGACCCUACGGGUUCAAGAACUAUGUAGACAUGGCCGAGACACGUCUCUGGUCAAUAACCAAUAGCAGAACCUGGAUGCUCAUAUUGGUUCCUACGUAUUCUAUGAAGAUCUUUAUCGGUCAAACAGCAUAACAACAUACGUUGUUCCCUUUGUCAUUGGUAAGUUAGUUGCCCGAGAUUCGAUCGUCGGUAUCAUCAUACCUAGUUCAAUCUCAUUACCGGCAAGUCUCUUUACUCAUUCCGUAAUACUUCAUCCCGCAACUAAUUCAUUAGUCAUAAUGCUUGCAAGGCUUAUAGUGAUGAGUAUUACCGAGAGGGCCCAGAGAUACUUCUCCAAAACACGGAGUGACAAAUACUAAUCUCGAUCUAUGCCAACCCAACAAACACCUUCGAAGACACCUGUAGAGCACCUUUAUAAUCACCUAUUUACGUUGUGACAUUUGGUAGGACACAAAGUGUUCCUCCGGUAUUCUAGAGUUGCAUAAUCUCAUAGUCUGAGGAACUUGUAUAAGUCAUGAAGAAAGCAGUAGCAAUGAAACUGACACGAUCAUAAUGCUAAGCUAACGGAUGGGUCAUGUCCAUCACAUCAUUCUCCUAAUGAUGUGAUCCUGUUAAUCAAAUGACAAUACAUGUCAAUGGUUAGGAAACAUAACCAUCUUUGAUUAACGAGCUAGUCAACUAGAGGCAUACUAGGGACUAUAUGUUUUGUCUAUGUAUUCACACAUGUACUAAGUUUCCGGUUAAUACAAUUCUAGCAUGAAUAAUAAACAUUUAUCAUGAAUUAAGGAAAUAAAUAAUAACUUUAUUAUUGCCUCUAGGGCAUAUUUCCUUCAGUCUCCCACUCGAACUAGAGUCAAUAAUCUAGAUUACAUAGUAAUGAUUCUAACACCCGUGGAGCUUUGGUGCUGAUCAUGUUUUGCUCCUGGAAGAGGCUUAGUCAACGGGUCUGCAACAUUCAGAUAUCUGUGUAUCUUGCAAAUCUCUAUGUCCCCUUCCGACACUUGGUGACGGAUGGAAUUGAAGCGUCUUUUGAUGUGCUUGGUUCACUUGUGAAAUCUGGAUCCUUUGCCAAGGCAAUUGCACCAGUAUUGUCACAAAAGAUUUUCAUUAGACCCGAUGCACUAGGUAUGACACCUAGAUUGGAUAUGAACUCUUUCAUCCAAACUCCUUCGUUUGCUACUUCCGAAGCAGCAAUGUACUCCACUUCACACGUAGAUCCCGCCACGACGCUCUGCUUGGAACUGCACCAACUGACAGCUCCUCCAUUUAAUAAAAAUAUGUAUCCGGUUUGCGACUUAGAGUCAUCCGGAUCAUUGUCAAAGCUUGCAUUGACGUAACCGUUUACGACAAGCUCUUUUUAACCUCCAUAAAUGAGAAACAUAUACUUAGUCCUUUUUAGGUAUUUCAGGAUGUUCUUGACCGCUGUCUAGUGCUCCACUCCGGGAUUACUUUGGUACCGCCCUGCUAUGCUUAUAGCAAGACAUACAUCAGGUCUGGUACACAGCAUUGCAUACAUGAUAGAACCUAUGGCUGAAGCAUAGGGAAUGACUUCCAUUUUCUCUCUAUCUUCUGCAGUGGUCGGGCAUUGAGUCUGACUCAACUUCACACCUUGUAAUACAGGCAAGAACCCUUUCUUUGACUGAUCCAUUUUGAACUUCUACAAAACUUUAUCAAGGUAUGUGCUCUAUGAAAGUCCAAUUAAGUGUCUUGAUCUAUCUCUAUAGAUCUUGAUGCCCAAUAUGUAAGCAACUUCUCCGAGGUCUUUCAUAGAAAAACUCUUAUUCAGGUAUCCCUUUAUGCUAUCCAGAAAUUCUAUAUCAUUUCCAAUCAACAAUAUGUCAUCUACAUAUAAGAUUAGAAAUUCUACAGAGCUCCCACUCACUUUCUUGUAAAUACAGGCUUCUCCAAAAGUCUAUAUAAAACCAUAUGCUUUGAUCACACUAUCAAAACAUUUAUGCCAACUCCGAGAGGAUUGCACCAGUCCAUAAAUGGAUCGUUGUAGCUUGCACACUUUGUUAGCACCCUUUGGAUCCACAAAACCUUCUGUUUGCAUCAUAUACACCUCUUCUUCCAAAAAUCCAUCCAGGAAUGCAGUUUUGACAUCCAUUUUCCAAAUUUCAUAAUCAUAAAAUGCAGCAAUUGCUAACAUGAUUCGGACAAACUUAAGCAUCGCUGCGGGUGAGAAAGUCUCAUCGUAGUCAACUCCUUGAACUUGGCGAAAACCUUUCACGACAAGUUGAGCUUUGUAAACAGUAACAUUACCGUCUGUGUCGGUCUUCUUCUUAAAGAUCCAUUUAUUUUCUAUGGUUGGCCGAUCAUCGGGCAAGUCCAGCAAAGUCCACACUUUGUUCUCAUACAUGGAUCCCAUCUUACAUUUCAUGGCUUCUAGCCAUUUCACGGAAUCUGGGCUCAUCAUCACUUCCUCAUAGUUCGUAGGUUCAUCAUGGUCUAGUAAUAUGACUUCCAGAACAGGAUUACCAUACCACUCUGGUGCGGAUCUUACUCUAGAAGAACUACGAAGUUUGCUAGUAACUUGAUCUGAAGCUUCAUGAUCAUCAUCAUUAGCUUCUUCACUAAUUGGUGUAGGAAUCACGGGAACUGAUUUCUGUGAUGAACUACUUUCCAAUAAGAGAGAAGGUACAACUACCUCAUCAAGUUCUACUUUCCUCCCACUCACUUCUUUCGAGAGAAACUCCUUCUCUAGAAAGGAUCCAUUUUUAGCAACAAAGAUUUUGCCUUCGGAUUUGUGAUAGAAGGUGUACCCAACAGUUUCCUUUGGGUAUCCUAUGAAGAUGCACUUCUCCGAUUUGGGUUCGAGCUUAUCAGGUUGAAACUUUUUCACAUAAGCAUCACAGCCCCAAACUUUAAGAAAAGACAACUUUGGUUUGUUGCCAAACCAUAGUUCAUAAGGCGUCGUCUCAAUGGAUUUUGAUGGUGCCCUAUUUAAAGUGAAUACAACCGUCUCUAAAGCAUAACCCCAAAAUGAUAGCGGUAAAUCAAUAAGAGACAUCAUAGAUCACACCAUAUCUAAUAAAGUACGGUUACGAUGUUCGGACACACCAUUUCGCUGUGGUGUUCCAUGUGGCGUUAAUUGUGAAACUAUCCCAUGUUGUUUCAAAUGAAGACCAAACUCGUAACUGAAAUAUUGUCCUCCACGAUCAAAUCGUACAAACUUUAUUUUCUUGUUAUGGUGAUUUUCCACUUCGCUCUGAAAUUCUUUGAACUUUUUAAAUGUUUCAGACUUAUGCUUCAUUAAGUAGAUAUAACCAUAUCUACUCAAAUCAUCUGUGAAGGUAAGAAAAUAACGAUACCCACCACGAGCCUCAAUACUCAUUGGACCGCAUACAUCGGUAUGUAUUAUUUUCAACAAGUCAUUAGCUCGUUCCAUUGUUUUGGAGAACGGAGUUUUAGUCAUCUUGCCCAUAAGGCACGGUUCGCAAGCACCAAGUGAUUCAUAAUCAAGUGAUUCCAAAAGUCCAUCAGCAUGGAGUUUCUUCAUGCGCUUUACACUGAUAUGACCCAAACCGUAGUGCCACAAAUAAGUUGCACUAUCAUUAUUAAACUUCAAUCUUUUGGUUUCAACACUAUGAAUAUGUGUAUCACUACUAUCGAGAUUCAACAAAAAUAGACCACUCAGCAGGGGUGCAUGACCAUAAAAGAUAUUACUCAUAUAAAUAGAACAACCAUUAUUCUCUGAUUUAAAUGAAUAAUCGCCUCGCAUUAAACAAGAUCCAGAUAUAAUGUUCGUGCUCAACGCUGGCACCAAAUAACAAUUAUUUAGGUCUAAAACUAAUCCCGAUGGUAGAUGUAGACGUAGCGCGCCGACCGCGAUCACAUCGACUUUGGAACCAUUUUCCCACGCGCAUCGUCACCUCGUCCUUAGCCAAUCUUCGCUUAAUUCGUAGCCCAUGUCUCGAGUUGCAAAUAUGAGCAAUAGAACCAGUAUCAAAUACCCUGGCACUACUGCGAGCAUUAGUUAAGUACACAUCAAUAACAUGUAUAUCAAAUAUACCUUUCACUUUGCCAUCCUUCUUAUCCGCCAAAUACUUGGGGCAUUUCCGCUUCCAGUGACCAGUCCCUUUGCAGUAGAAGCACUCAGUUGCAGGCUUAGGUCCAGACUUCAGUCUCUUCUCUUGAGAAGCAACCUUUUUGCCGUUCUUCUUGAAGUUCCCUUUCUUCCCUUUGCCCUUUUUCUUGAAACUAGUGGUCUUAUUGACCAUCAACACUUGAUGCUCCUUUUUGAUUUCUACCUCCGCGGCCUUUAGCAUCGUGAAGAGCUCGAGAAUAGUCUUGUUCAUCCCUUGCAUAUUAUAGUUCAUCACUAAGACUUUAUAGCUUGGUGGCAGUGAUUGAAGAACUCUCUCAAUGACACAAUCAACUGGAAGAUCAACUCCCAGUUGAGUCAAGUGAUUAUGGUACCCAGACAUUCUGAGUAUGUGUUCACUGACAGAACUAUUCUCCUCCAUUUUGCAGCUAUAGAACUUGUUGGAGACUUCAUAUCUCUCAACUCGGGCAUUUGCUUGAAAUAUUAACUUCAACUCUUAGAACAUCUCAUAUGCUCCAUGAUGUUCAAAAUGUCUUUGAGGUCCUGAUUCUAAGCCGUAAAGCAUGGCACACUGAACUAUCGAGUAGUCAUCAGCUUUGCUCUGCCAGAUGUUCUUAACAUCAUCAGUAACAUCUGUAGCAGGCCUGCACCCAACGGUGCUUCCACGACAUAAUUCUUCUAUGCAGCAAUGAGGAUAAUCCUCAAGUUACGGACCCAUUCCAUGUAGUUGCUGCCAUCAUCUUUCAACUUAGCUUUCUCUAGGAACGCAUUAAAAUUCAAAGGAACGGUAGCACGGGCCAUUAAUCUACAACAACAUAGACAUGCAAAAUACUAUCAGGUACUAAGUUCAUGAUAAACUAAGUUCAAUUAAUCAUAUUACUUAAGAACUCCCACUUAGAUAGACAUCCCUCAAAUCAUCUAAGUGAUCACGUGAUCCAAAUCAACUAAACCAUGUCCGAUCAUCACGUGAGAUGGAGUAGUUUUCAAUGGUGAACAUCACUAUGUUGAUCAUAUCUACUAUAUGAUUCACGCUCGACCUUUCGGUCUUAGUGUUCUGAGGCCAUAUCUGCAUAUGCUAGGCUCGUCAAGUUUAACCCGGGUAUUCUACGUGUGCAAAACUGGCUUGCACCCGUUGUAUGUGAACGUAGAGCUUAUCACACCCGAUCAUCACGCAGUCUCUCGACACGACAAACUGUAGCAACGAUGCAUACUCAUGGAGAACACUUGUACCUUGAAAUUUAGUAAGGGAUCAUCUUAUAAUGCUACCGAAGUUCUAAGCAAAAUAAGAUGCUUAAAGGAUAAACAUCACAUGCAAUCAAAAUAUGUGACAUGAUAUGGCCAUCAUCAUCUUGUGUUCAUGAUCUCCAUCACCGGAGCAUCGUCAUGAUCUCCAACGUCACCGGCGCGACACCUUGAUCUCCAUCGUAGCAUCAUUGUCAUCUCGCCAACAAUUGUUACUACGACUAUCGCUACUGCUUAGUGAUAAAGUAAAACAAUUACAUGGCGAUUGCAUUGCAUACAAUAAAGUGACAACCAUAUGGCUCCUGCUAGUUGCCGAUAACUUUGUUACAAAACAUGAUCAUCCCAUACAACAAUUUAUAUCACAUCAUGCUUUGACCAUAUCACAUCACAUCAAGCCCUGCAAAACAAGUUAGAUGUCGCCUCCUUUGUUGUUGCAAGUUUUACGUGGCUGCUACAGGCUUCUAGCAAGAACCGUUCUUACCUACGCAUCAAAACCACAACAAAUUUUCGUCAAGUGUGUUGUUUUAACCUUUAACAAGGAUCGGGCGUAGCCACACUCGAUUCAAUUAAAGUUGGAGAAUCGGACACUCACCAGCCACCUAUGUGUAAAGCACGUCGGUAGAACCAGUCUCACGUAAGCGUACGCGUAAUGUCAGUCUGAGCUGCUUCAUCCAACAAUACCGCCGAAUCAAAGUAUGACAUGCUGGUAAGCAGUAUGACUAUUAUCGCCGACAACUCUUUAUGUUCUACUCGUGCAUAUAACAUCUACGCAUAGACCUAGCUCGAAUGCCACUCUUGGGGAACCCAGUAAUUCCAAAAAAAAUCCUACGAUCACGCAAGAUCUAUCACUAGGUGAUGCAUAGCAACGAGAGGGGAGAGUGUUGCCUACGUACCCUCGUAGACCGAAAGUAGAAGCGUUAUGACAACGUGGUUGAUGCAGUCGUACGUCUUCACGAGCGGACCGAUCCUAGCACCGAAGGUAUGACACCUCCGCGAUCUACACAUGUUCAUCUCGGUGAUCUCCCACGAACUCUAGAUCCAGCUAAGGUCGAGGUAGAGUUUCGUCAGCACGACGGCGUGGUGACGGUGAUGAUGAAGUUACCGGCGCAGGGCUUCACCUAAGCACUACAAUGAUAUGACCGAGGUGUGUAACUAUGGAGGGGGGCACCGCACACUGCUAAAACAAUUGUCAACUUGUGUGUUCUAGGGUGCCCCCUUGCCCCUGUAUAUAAGGAGCAAGGGGAAGGCCGGCCGGCCCUCCAUGGGCGCGCCCCCAAUAGGGGAAUCCUGCUAGGCCUCCAAGUCCUAGUAGGUUUACACCUAAAGGGAGAGAGGGGGAAGGAAGGAGAGGGAGAGGGGGGAGGCAAGGGGGGCGCCCCCCCUCCUUGUCCUAUUCGGACUCAAGGGAGCGGGCACACGGCCUGCCCUGGCCGGCCCCUCUCUCUCUCCACUAGGGCCCAUCGAGGCCCAUUAGUUCCCCGGGGGGUUCAUGUAACCCUCUGGCACUCCGGUUUUAUCCAAAACUUAUCCGGAACACUUCCGGUGUCCGAAUGUAGUCGUCCAAUAUAUCAAUCUUCCGGACUCCUCGUCAAGUCCGUGAUCACAUCUAGGAAUCCAAACAAUCUUCGGUACAUCAUAUCACAUAAACUCAUAAUACCAAUCGUCAUCGAAUGUUAAGCGUGCAGACCCUAUGGAUUCGAGAACUAUGUAGACAUGACCGAGACAUGUCUCUGGUCAAUAACCAAUAGCGGAACCUGGAUGAUCAUAUUGGUUCCUACAUAUUCUACAAAGAUCUUUAUCGGUCAAACAACAUAACAACAUAUGUUGUUCCCUUUGUCAUUGGUAAGUUAGUUGCCCGAGAUUCGAUCGUCGGUAUCAUCUUACCUUGUUCAAUCUCGUUACCGGCAAGUCUCUUUACUCGUUCCAUAAUACUUCAUCCCGCAACUAAUUCAUUAGUCACAAUGCUUGCAAGGCUUAUAGUGAUGAGUAUUACCGAGAGGGCCCAGAGAUACUUCUCUGAAACACCGAGUGACAAAUCCUAAUCUCGAUCUAUGCCAACCCAACAAACACCUUCGGAGACACCUGUAGAGCACCUUUAUAAUCACCCAUUUAUGUUGUGACCUUUGGUAGCACACAAAGUGUUCCUCCGGUAUUCGGGAGUUGCAUAAUCUCAUAGUCUGAGGAACUUGUAUAAGUCAUGAAGAAAGCAGUAGCAAUGAAACCAACACGAUCAUAAUGCUAAGCUAAAGGCUAGGUAAUGUCCAUCACAUCAUUCUCCUAAUGAUGUGAUCCUGUUAAUCAAAUGACAACACAUGUCAAUGGUUAGGAAACAUAACCAUCUUUGAUUAAGGAGCUAGUCAAGUAGAGGCAUGCCAGGGACUAUAUGUUUUGUCUAUGUAUUCACACAUGUACUAAGUUUCUGGUUAAUACAAUUCUAGCAUAAAUAGUAAACAUUUAUCAUGAAAUAAGGAAAUAAAUAAUAACUUUAUUAUUGCCUCUAGGGCAUAUUUCCUUCCAAGUGUUCUCCCUGAGUAUGGACCAUUGCGACAGUUCUUCGGGUUGAGACACCACGUGAUGAUCAGGUGUGAUAGGCUCUACGUUCACAUACAACGGGUGCAAGACAGUUUUGCACACGCGGAAUACUCGGGUUAAACUUGACGAGCCUAGCAUGUACAGACAUGGCCUCGGAACACUGGAGACUAAAAGGUCGAAAGUGAAUCAUAUAGUAGAUAUGAUCAACAUAGAGAUGUUCACCUUUGAUGACUACUCCAUCUCACAUGAUGAUCGGACAUAGUUUAAUUGAUUUGGAUCACGUAUCGUUUAGAUGAAUUGAGGGAUGUCUAUCUAAGUGGGAGUUCUUAAGUAAUUUGAUUAAUUGAACUUAAUUUAUCAUGAACUUAGUCCUGAUAGUAUUUGCAUAUUUAUGUUGUAGAUCAAUAGAUCGCAUUGUAGCUCCCCUAUGUUUUUGAUAUGUUCCUAGAGAAAACUAAGUUGAAAGAUGGUAUUAGCAAUCAUGCGGACUGGGUCCGUGAUCUGAGGGUUAUCCUCAUUAUUGCACAGAAGAAUUAUGUCCUUGAUGCACUGCUAGGUGACAGGCCUAUUGCAGGAGCGGAUACAUACGUUAUGAAUGUUUGGCAAGCUCAGUAUGAUGACUACUUGAUAGUUUAGUGCGCCAUACUUUACGGCUUAGAAUCGAGGCUGCAAAGACGUUUUGAACGCCACGGAGCAUAUGAGAUGUUCUAAGCUGAAAUUUGUAUUUCAGACUCAUGCCCGUGUCGAGAGGUACGAGACCUCUGACAAGUACUGUGCCUACAAGAUGGAGGAGAAUAGCUCAGCCAGUGAGCAUGUGCUCAGAAUGUCUGGGUGCUACAAUCGCUUGAAUCAAGUGGGAGUUAAUCUUCCAGAUAAGAUAGUGAUUGAUAGAGUUCUCUAGUCACUAUCACCAAGCUACUAGAACUUCGUGAUGAACUAUAAUAUGCAAGGGAUGACGAAAAUGAUUCCCGAGCUCUUCGCAAUACUGAAAUCAGUGAAGGUAGAAAUCAAGAAAGAGCAUCAAGUGUUGAUGGUUAACAAGACCACUAGUUUCAAGAAAAAGGGCAAGGGAAAGAAAGGGAACUUCAAGAAGAAUGGCAAGCAAUUUGCCACUCCCAUGAAGAAGCCCAAAGCUAGACCUAAGCCUGAAACUGAGUGCUUCUACUUCAAAGGAAAUGGUCAUUGGAAGGGGAACUACCCCAAAUAAUUGGCGGAUAAGAAGGAUGGCAAAGUGAACAAAGGUAUGUUUGAUAUACAUGUUAUUGAUGCGUACUUUACUAGUGUUUAUAGUAACCCCAGGGUAUUUGAUACCAAUUCAGUUGCUAAGAUUAGUAACUCAAAACAGGAGUUGCAAAAUGAACAGAGACUAGUUAAGGGCAAGGUAACGAUGUGUGUUGGAAGUGAUUCCAAAGUUGAUAAGAUCACCAUCACAUACUCCCUCUACCUUCGAGAUUUGUGUUGAACCUAAACAAAUGUUAGUUCGUGUUUGCGUUGAGCAUGAAUAUGAUUGGAUCAUGUUUAUUGCAAUACGGUUAUUCAUUUAAGUAAGAGAAUAAUUGUUGUUCUAUUUACAUGAAUAAAAUCUUCUAUGGUCAUACACCCAAUGUGAAGGGUUUAUUGAAUCUCGAUCGUAGUAAUACACAUAUUCAUAAUAUUGAUGCGAAAAGAUGAAAAGUUGAUAAUGAUAGUGCAACAUACUUGUGGCAGUGCUGUUUAGGUCCUAUUGGUGUAAAGCACAUGAAGAAACUCCAUGUAGAUGAACUUUUUGAAUUACUUGAUUAUGAAUCAUUUGAUACUUGUGAACCAUGCCUCAUGGGCAAGAUGACUAAAACUCCGUUCUUCGGAACAAUGGAGCGAGCCAAUGGCUUAUUGGAAAUAAUACAUACCAAUGUAUACGGACUGAUGAGUGUUGAGGCACGCGGAGGGUAUCGUUAUAUUCUGACCUUCAAAGAUGAUUUGAGCGGAUAUGGGUAUAUCUACUUAAUGAAACACAAGUCUGAAACAUUUGAAAAGUUCAAAGAAUUUCAGAGUAAAGUGGAGAAUCAUCGUAACAAGAAAAUAAAGUUUCUACGAUCUGAUCGCGGAGGCGAAUAUUUGAGUUACGAGUUUGGCCUUCAUGCGAAACAAUGUGGAAUAGUUUCACAACUCACGCCACCUGGAAUACCACAACGUAAUGGUGUGUCUGAACGUCGUAAUCAUACUUUCUUAGAUAUGGUACGUUCUAUGAUGUAUCUUACCGAUUUACAACUAUUGUUUUUGAGUUAUGCAUUAGAGACAGUUGCAUUCACGAUAAAUAGGGCAUCAUCUAAAUCCGUUGAGAUGGCGUCGUAUGAAUUGUGGUUUGGCAACAAACCUAAGCUGUAGUUUCUUAAAGUUUGGGGUUACGACACUUAUGUCAAAAGGCUUCAGCCUAAUAAGCUCGAACCCAAAUUGAAGAAGUGCAUCUUCAUAGGAUACCCUAAGGAAACAAUUGGGUACACCUUCUACCAUAGAUUCAAAGGCAAGAUCUUUGUUGCCGAGAAUGGAACCUUUCUAAAGAAGGAGUUUCUCUCAAAAGAAGUGAGUGGGAGGAAAGUAGAACUUGAUGAGGUAAUUGUUCCUUCUCUCGAAUUGGAAAGUAGCACAUCAGUGAAAUCUGUUCCCGUGAUGCCUACACCAACUAGAGAGGAAGCUAAUGAUGAUGAUCAUGAAACUUCGGAUCAAGUUACUACUGGACCUCGUAGGUCGAACAGAGCACGUUCCACUCUAGAAUGGUAUGGUAAUCUUGUUCUGGAACUCAUGUUAUUAGACCAUGGCAAACCCAUGAACUAUGAAGAAGCUAUGAUGAGCCCAGAUUCCGACAGAUGGCUUGAGGCCAUGAAAUCCGAGAUAGGAUCAAUGUAUGAGAACAAAGUGUGGACUUUGGUGGACUUGCCCAUUGAUCGGCAAGCCAUUGAGAAUAAAUGGAUCUUCAAAAGGAAGACGGACACUGAUGGUAGUGUUCUAUCCACAAAGCUCGACUUGAUGCAAAAUAUUUGCGACAAGUUCAAGGUGUUGACUACGAUGAGAUUUUCUCACUCAUAGUGAUGCUUAAGUCUGUCUGAAUCAUGUUAGCAAUUGUCUCAUUUUAUGAAAUCUGGCAAAUGGAUGUCAAAACUGCAUUCCUUAAUGGAUUUCUUAAAGAAGAGUUGUAUAUGAUGCAACCAAAAGGUUUUGUCGAUCCUAAAGGUGAUAACACAGUGUGCAAACUCCAUCGAUCCAUCUAUGGACUGGUGCAAGCAUCUCGAAGUUGGAAUAUACGCUUUGAUAAGGUGAUCAAAGCAUAUGGUUUUAUACGGACUUAUGGUGAAGUCUGUAUUUACAAGAAAGUGAGUGGGAGCUCUAUAGCAUUUCUGAUAUUAUAUGUGGAUGACAUAUUGUUGAUUGGAAAUGAUGUAGAAUUUGUGGGUAGCAUAAAAGGAUAUUUGAAUAAGAAUUUUUCAAUGAAAGACCUCGGUGAAGCUGCUUACAUAUUGGGCAUCAAGAUCUAUAGAGAUAGAUCAAGACGCUUGAUAAGACUUUCAAUGAGUACAUACCUUGACAAGAUUUUGAAGGAGAUCAAAAUGGAUCAGUCAAAGAAGGAGUUCUUGCCUGUAUUGUAAGGUGUGAAGUUGAGUAAAGAUUCAAAACCCGACCACGGCAGAAGAUAAUGACAAAAUGAAAGUCAUUCCCUAUGCCUCAACCAUAGGUUCUAUAAAGUAUGUCAUGCUGUGUACCAAACAUGUUGUCUACCUUGCCAUGAGUUUGGCAAGGGGGUACAAUAGUAUCCAGGAAUAGAUCACUGGCCAGCGGUCAAAAUUAUCCUUAGUUACCUUAAAGAGGACUAAGGAAAUGUUUCUCGAUUAUGGAGGUGAUAAAGAGUUUGUGUUACGUCGAUGCAAGAUUUCACACUGAUCUAGUUGACUCUAAGUCUCAAUCUAGAUACAUAUUGAACGUGGGAGCAAUUAUCUAGAGUAGCUCCAUGCAAAGCAUUGUAGACAUAGAUAUUUGCAAAAUACAUAUUAAUCUGAAUGUGGCAGACCCGUUGACUAAACUUCUCUCACAAGCAAAACAUGAUCACACCUUAGUACUCUUUGGGUGUUAAUCACAUAGCGAUGUGAACUAGAUUAUUGACACUAGUAAACCAUUUGGGUGUUGGUCACAUGGUGAUGUGAACUAUGGCUGUUAAUCACAUAAAGCUGCGAACUAUUGGUGUUAAAUCACAUGGCGAUGUGAACUAGAUUAUUGACUCUAGUGCAAGUGGGAGACUGAAGGAAAUAUGCCCUAGAGGCAACAAUAAAAUUGUUAUUUUAUAUUUGCUUAUAUCAUGAUACUAGUUAAUUGCAUGUGAUUUGCACGUCGAAUCAUGCACGAAAGCAAAAAUGGGUAAGCCAAGGCGAAGGGCGGUAUGAACAAAUUACUCACUAAUUGUGUAGGUAAAACCAGGAAAAUAAAUACUUCAAGUAUUUAUUUCUUCCUUUUCAUGUCGUCUUCAUCCUUUUACCGAAAGCAUUCCUUUCUUAAUCUUGCCCGCACGCUUUAUUUCGUGUUUUAUCCUUUUAGAAGACCUCCAACAUGUCAAGCUGACCCCUCAUGUCAGGCCCAUAUGGUGGUUGACACAUAAUGCUAUGGGGAUGACACAUCGUAAACUACUUAAAAAUAUAAAUUCUCUUAAAUAGUGAAAAAAUCACAUCAUGUUAAUUUUGACUAAAAAUGUUGCAAAUAAUGACCAAGCAUUUUGGGAUGUUCUUAAAUUUAUUCUCGGUCAUUAAUCAAACUGUUGGAUUACCAACAUAUGUUGGCGUUGUCCAAUCCUAGCGCCGUCACUGCGUAUAUUUUUGGACAGUCGAUUUUGUCAGUGUAGAAAAUGAUCUUUUAAAAGAACAUUCAUGUAACAUACAUACUUUUGAUUUGUAUACAUGUACAUUUUUUUGCUGGCAAGUGACACAGUAAGUUUGUGCAUACAUUGGGUUAUACACUGCGUAAAGUACAGAUCAACAGGUAGCAUUGGAGCACUUUUUUUGUA